AUGACACUGUUGGGUCUUCUGUGUCUGGUGACCGCCCUUCCUGGUAUCCUGUCCCAGCUACAGCUUCAGGAGUCAGGACCUGGCCUGGUGAAGCCCUCUCAAUCGCUGUCCCUCACCUGCUCUGUUGCUGGUUACUCCAUCACCAGUGGUUAUUGGUGGAGCUGGAUCAGGCAGUCCCCAGAGAAGAAGCUGGAGUGGAUGGGGUACAUAGGUUAUGAUGGUAGCACCUGCUACAACCCAACCCUGCAGAGCCGCAUCUCCAUCACCAGAGAAACAUCCAAGAACCAGUUCUUCCUGCAGCUGAACUCUGUGACCACUGAGGACACAGCCACCUAUUACUGUGCAAGACACAGUGAGGAGACUUCAGCAUGA